GCCGAGUUUACAACUCCCAAACCCCUGUGAACAUACCUUAUGUUGCCUCGGCGGAUCAGCCCGCGCCCGGUAAAACGGGACGGCCCGCCAGAGGACCCCUAAACUCUGUUUCUAUAGUGGAACUUCUGAGUAUAAAACCAUAAUAAAUCA
rnacentral:misc_RNA from 1 species